AAGAUCAGAAUCAGUUCCUAUGGCCAGUGAGUAACAGCAGUGCUCUUAUUUUGGCAGGCCAGCAUCAUUCCAGCAACCAGCACAGGGGAAAAACACGCACACACGCCGCCCUCUCUGCCCGUGGCAGCCAGAGCACCUUUCAGAUAUCCUACCUCACCUGCUGACACAAUCCAUCAGCACUCACCGAAAUCAAAUGCAGCUAAUUGGAAGGUGAUGACAGCCAGGGGACUGCUGGAUUUGCAUGCUAAUUCCUCCAUUUUAGCAUCACACAGCCAAACUACAGGGCUGAAGCAGUGGCCUGUCUGGGUGGCUGUCGUGACUUCCCAAACCCUAGAAGACCCCAGCUGUGAGAAAUAAACUGAAUGUCAGUGUUUGCAGCAAGAAAAAGGUGAGGGCUCCAAUCCCUUGAGGCUGAAAAUUUCCCUUUCAAGGGAGAAGGCAAUCCUCUCCUUGCCCCCGUGACAAUUUUCCUGGUUUUUGUUUGGCUUUGUUUUUAAAUCAGGUUGAAUACCCUCCUGAGAAGAGCACAAUUCCUGUAACGAAGGAGGAUGAGCGCUGACACCCACACCCCAGCUCUGCAGCAGCAGAUGUUGGGUUUCAUCAUGGCCCAGUCUGACAGGCAGCUGAGAGCAACCUGCAAAAAAACCCCAAACCAAAACACAGCAAAAACCAAAGAUCCCCAAAUCCAGGGGCUCAACCAUCCAUACAUCCAGAUUUCAGAGUGAUUGGUCCUCCUUCUACUUCACUUGUGCCCUGAGAUCAUCUCAACGCUGGGCAUAGACUAGGAUGAUCUAAAUGAGGAGAAGGAAGUAGGAUUACCAGGAAAGAAGGUUACUUGCUGCUUUAAGAGGACACGUGAGAGGACAUCCAAACCCCCCAAGGCUGUUUCCGGGGGGCUGGUGCAGGAUGGGAUGGCCAUGCCAGUUGUGUCACUGCUGUGCAUGCUGCUGGAGCGGGAUACUGCAUGACAAAAGGCGGUGGCACCUGUGCAGCCUUUUCUGCACUGGGGUGACAGAAGACAGAUGUCAAGCAGGGUGAAUUGCGUUUCGGGUGCUUAGUUCACCUGGAUUCACUCCAGAACCAGAAUGAGAAAUUAGAGCCAGAUACCAUCCUUUGCCUGUUUUCAUGUCCCUAACCUCUAGCAAAGGCCAGCUACAGAAGGCGAGGGAGGCCAGCACUGGUGUGCUCAGUCUAGUCCUCAACCUGAUAUAGCAACGGAAGGUGGCCCAGGCAUUUAACCCUCCUACCUCUGGCCAGUGGUGCAUCUCCUGAGGGCCCAGAAGGAUGAAAAUAUGGCUUGGAUUGUCUUUCCAAUCUAAUUAUCAGCCCGCUUUUCUCAGACCCUUCUUGCCUGCCACUGCUUUUUCAUUGCAGUUCUGCGUGAACUUCUUGGGUGC
rnacentral:lncRNA from 1 species